UGAAAAGCCUUCGGUGCGCAUGGGCGCCUUAUAAGAGCUCCGCUGGUGCCUCUGCAGCACCCCUCGCGGCAGGAAGGGGCAUGCUGCGCCGUGGAUGACGUCAAGGGGCUGGUGGUGAAGGCGGGAACAGGCAGGCUGUCACACACACCGAAUCAGAUGUUAUAAUGCUGGAAGAGGAGAGAGCAGUCUGUAUUUCAGGUAUCAUCAAGUGUCUCAAGAGGUAUAUUUUCACAUAACUGUUUCUUCAUACAUCAUUUAGACCAGAUAAAAAUCAAAGCACAUUCUAAAGCAAGCAGAUGACACAAACUUACAUCCAGCGAUGGCUCCGGCAUGUCAGAUGCUCCCUGCCCACCAGCCUGACCUUCUAAGGCUGAGGAGGGGUUAAAGGCCAGGUCAUUGUGUGGAUGGUUGCUAGAAGCGGCCUGUGGUGGCUGCCGGGACUGCUGGGUAGGAGGACCGCUGUGAUGUAAUGGCUGCCCUGACUGGCUGCUGGGAUGAGGCAUCCCUUGCAAACUAACUUCAGCAAGAUGAGAAAAAGUAAAUGCAUGAAUACUGGAAACAAAAAAAUGUGCUCUAAUUUCAACUGGUAUACAGAAACAAAAACUAUAGCAUGAGCAGCACAAUGCAAAUCAACAGAAACUAUGCAGAAGUUUUAUGGGCUUUGCUUUUCACUGACUCCACCAAUGGCACCUUUUUCUAUGGGCCCAAGUCCAGAGCCCUACACUCUUCCUUCAUUUGCAGUUCCAGCAGCGCCGCCAGGAAUCUCCUCCCCUUCCGCACAGCAUUCAGACAGUCAGAGGAGCUGCCAUACUGGCCCUUUAAGCAAGCGCUAGAGUGGAGCAUGCUUAGCUGUCUUCAGCUCUUUCAGCCCAGCACACCAGCUCUUCCAGUCCAGCAGGGGAGAGGUGAGGGCUGGUGUGUGUGUGUGUGUGUGUGUGUGUGUGUGUGUGUGUGUGUGUGUGUGUGAAAGUCAUGUAUUCUCAAUUUUCAGAUGUGCAUAUUCUCUUUUUCCCCUCCCACUUUUUCUUCCACUUGUCUUUCUUUCUCUUUCCUUCCUUCCACUUGUCUCUUGUCUUCCUUUCCUUUCUCUCCUUUCUUCCUUUCUCCUUCCCUCCCUCCUUCUACUUCUCUCUCCCUCUCCCACCUUUCCUUUUAUCUGUCCAUCCCCCACUGACUGACUGACUGACUGACUGCAUGUAUGGAUGCUUAGCAGGAAAGUUGCCAUAAAAUACAUUAGGUGCUCUACAAAUAACAGAGUUGCCUCUUCUUUCCUUUCCUUCCUUCUGUGUUUCUCUCCUUCCUGCUUUUCUGCUUCUACUUCACAUAUAUAUAUUUUAAAACCUGUAUACUGGGGGGACCAUAAGGUCAUGACAUACAGACUCUGCAAAAACCUAGCUACACUACUGGACUCCACAUCUCUAUUAGAUGUCCUCUGACAACUAAAUUGCCCUGUGGAUUAGGAGUCUCUAGCUUGAAAUCAGAACUACUAGCACAGUUCCUCCUGUAGUAUAAAACUACCCAUAGAGUUGUUUCUUAUAUACUGCAGAACUGUAAUGUCUUAAGUAUGUUUCUGUUGGCUAGUAUUCUAUGGAUUGUGGUAGAAAUGUCCUGUGCCUUUUUUCCACAAGUACAUCUAAUAAUUUGUUUUAAUUAAUUCAAAAAUUUCUGUUAAGCUACUCCCCAAUCUUUUCAAAUUUUUCAAAUUGCCCUGUCUUUGUACAAAUAUAUUUAUAUAAACCACCAGAGAACCAAUUUUUUGAAAUGGACUGUAAAUGAAUAAAUAAGCCUAGUUUAAAAUUCAUUCAUGUACAAACUUACUACUUUGUGUACCCUCAUGGGACCAUUGGCUACUCUUCAUUCUGACAAUAGAACUUCCCAUUAAAGAAAAAUAAUCCUUAAAGAUGACAAUUUCUGUUAAUGACAGAAUAAAAUGUGUAGAUGGAUUUUAAACAGUUGAAAUAUUAAGAGUACUGUCGGUGCUUCCUGUUGAUACAUAAGGAUUUUACAGUAAAUUUUGUCAAGAUAUAUUUUCCUGCACAUUGUUUGUGACUCUCAAAUUGUAGAAUCACAUAUAUAAGAUUUAAUUUUGAGCAUAAAAAACCUUAAAAGGCUCUAACAGAAUUACUGCCCGGCAUUGUUUGGAAGGUAGAAAAUCAGCCUUGUGUAUUUUGGGUAAAAUACAGGUGUCCUGGACUUCUGAAAUACUCUGAUUAAUUUAUAGAUUGAAUUGCACAGAAAGUAUAUGAUACUGAAUAGUCAAUCAAUGAUUUUCCCUCCUCAUAAUCCAGAAUUACUAGAGAUUUCUCAGACUGGGGAAUCUACUGCUGGAAGAAGUGGUGUAAGUUAGGACGAGAGUAUAUAAAGUGCAUAUAAAUGAAUAUAAGUGUAAAGUGUGCCAUCAAGUCAAUUUCUACUCCUGGUGCCCACAGAGCCCUUUGAUUUUCUUUGGUAGAAUGCAGGAGGGGUUUACUAUUGCUUCCUCCUGCGCAGUGUGAGAUGAUGCCUUGCAGCAUCUUCCUAUAUCGCUGCUGUAUAUAGUAGCAGCAGGGAUUUGAACCAGCAACCUUCUGCUUGUUAGUCAAGCAUUUCCCCGCUGCGCCACUUAAGGUGACAUGUAAAUAAGCAUAAAUCCGAGUAAAUCAGGGCUGUUCGCAUUGCUGCUUUUUAUUAUGGCUGAUUAUAUUUCAUUACAGUUUUUCAAAUAGUGGUUUGUUCACACAGCUGGCUCCCCUCAAUCCAUCCCACCCAUUUCAGGCCAACAGGGUUGUGGAGGAGGCCCCCUGCCUCCUGCUUCCUAUUGGUGCAAUCACCUGUGCCCAGGUAGUGAUGAGAAUGGGGAGAUUACAUGUGUGUACACAUGUGUGGUGCCUGUGGAUUCCCCCCAAAUGUAAUUUUAUGACAUAUAUAUAUAUAUAUAUAUAUAUAUAUAUAUAUAUAUAUAUCCAUCCCCCUGGUAUUCUUGCACUGCUUGCUAGAUAACUGCUUGCUAGAUCAAUGGAAAGCUCCAGGUACUGUAAUGGAUUACAUGGAGUAUUAUUACAUGGAACUCUUGACCAGAAAUAGACUACAGGUUGCAAAUCUGCCCAGCAAUGGAAUUGAGAAGGGUGGCAGGCAGAGCCAACACUCCCCAAAGUCACUCCCAGGCAGGUAGCCACACCUCCAUCUCAUGUUUAUCUCAGGAGUCUCUAUAUACGGCUCCAAAAAAAUGCUGGAGUAUUGCACACAACCAUUUUCAACCCUUCCACAAAGGGCAACUUUUUAAAGACAUGUAUAUUACACAUUAAGGGCCAAACAUCAUUACAAAGCUGAAUAAUGCUGCUGGCUGUAUGAACAGCAACUUGCUGUUAUCGUAUUGAAAUCACUGUAAACCCCGCCCCCCCCCUUGACUAACAUGGAGGCAGUGUGGGAUUUUUGGGGGCCCCCUCAGUAUUAUCUUCUAUGGUUCCUCCAAACCAUGCCCAAAGCCCAAACCAACUACUGGGAAGAAAAGUUUUUUGUUUAAUGGAGUUUGCCGUUUGCUAUAUUGGUGGCAGGAAAAAAACCGCUGGCUUUGUGGCAUGUGAUGUUAGCAGCAGGAUUCAAUUCAGCUUUUUGGAAUGAUUUUUGAAGUACAAGAGAAUGUUAAAUUGGAGUACUGACUCACAAGAACUGAGGAUAAUGGCCAAGUAUCUAGGUUCCUGUUAAAAGUAUGUCGGGGGGGAAAUCCCAUUUGAGGGGAAAACUUCAAAGGACUUAAUGUCGCCGAUUCAGAUGGAACCUGCUGUUGUGAUUAACAUCUAAUGAACCUGUAAAGCCAUAGUCUGUGCAAAUGAGUAUAGAUAUAUCCGUUUCAAGGAGAAAGCGUUACACCUGGAGUAUUAGCAGCAAGAAAGACAAUGCCUGCUUGAAAAAUAGCAGCUGCUACUAGAAGAAGAGAGGCUACAACUGGAAGGAAAGCACCUGCAGACAGAAGAGGAGCAGCAAGGAAGCCAGUGACAUAAUGAGGAGGAGCUAGCCCUGAGUCAAAAUCAACCAUGCAGCAGGGUGACACCCAAGGAUUUUACCAUUUAUGUCCAAAGAGAAGAUCCACAAGGGUUUUUGUCCACAUUCAAAAAGCUGUGAAGAACUGGGACCUUCAAGAAGAGGAUUUUAUGGGAUUUAUUCCAAAUAUCACCAAAGGGGAUUUAUCAGAAGCUUAUAACAGCAUGUCUGAGAAGUGCUAUGAUCAUAUGUGUCUUUUAACGAGUUAGUGUAUACAAUAUUUUUUUCAGAAAAAGGUUUAAGAAUCUGCAUCCCCAUGGUGCAAAAUCUAUAGUGGAAUUUGAAGCUAAGCUCAAGGAUGCUCUGUAGAAGUGGGUAAAGGGGCAAAGGUUGAUAUGGUAGAAAAAUAUGGUUGAUUUAAUUGGGUUAGACCAGUUUUACUCUAUCAGAUUCCACAGGAUAUUAAAAUUAAAGUAUAAGAUCAGGUUCUUGAAACCCUAACAAAAGCUGCAAACAUUGCAUGCCAGUUAAUACUGAACUGGGAAGAUGAUCAGAAAUGCUAGAUUUGAAGGGAAUAAAAAGGUAUAUUAUACCAGCAAGGGGAGAGAAAAAAAGAAUUUUCUCUUCAACAGGAGAAAGGUUUCCUAUUUAAAGAAAGGGCAAACCCUCAGAGAUCUUUUGAAUGUCCUAAAUGGCAAGAAAAUGUAUGCUCUAGUUGUGGGCAGAAAGUCAAAAGGCAAUGCCCUAAUCAAAAGCCAGUGCCUCAAAGAAAGCUCUUAGCAACUUUGCCCUAGGAAUCAUCACUCCUCUUUCAUUAUUUCCUUGGGCUUCCCUCUUGUUGACCUCAAUUAUGAUCCCCCUUUGGGGGGGCGCGUGUUUCCUCCCUUCAUCAGUUCUCCCUGUUCCUUUUCAGGCACCUGCACCAACUGAACUUCUCCCCAGCAGUCAUCCCUCCGCCCCGCCCUUCUCAAAAGUAACAGUGGCUUCAACAGUCCAGUUGAAGCCACACUCCCCAACAACUAUGACCCUUCCCUCCUUCACCAACGGUUGCCAAGUCCAAACCUUUAUCCCAAGCAACCAACACAAACAAUUACAUCAACUGUAUUGCUAGCAGCCAACCGUAUUAGAUCAUCAGCCAUCCCAUAUGUUAAAAACAUUACUGAACAGAGAUAGCAGGCAAGCUUUUCUGCCUGAAGAAGGGUGAAACUACUAAUUGAAAUAAAAUAAUAUAAUGAGAAGGGGAAGAAGAAACCUCCAACAGGUGCAGAGGGCGCCUUUCUCAUGUAAGUGCAUGGCAGUGUGUGAGCAUGGAGGCCACUCUGGUGGAGAGUAGCUGUGGAACCCUGGCCAGUAUCUCUCUCCUUCAGCAGGGCAGCAUCAGCCUGAGAGCACAUGGCUCAGAGAAUCAUAGGGCAGGCAGCAUCCUGCCCUAUUGGGGUCUCAAAGUCCAAUUCCUCUCCUCCAGGCAGGCCUCCACAUGAGGUCCUAAUAGCCAGUCUCCCUCCUUGAGCUGGGCAGCAUCAGCUCACCGUGGCUAGUCGCCCUUCAGGCAGGCAGCAUCCGUAUGAAGACACAAGGGCCAGUCUUUCACGGAAGCAGAUCGUGGCAGCAGUGUGUGGGCUCUCUGGCCAUCACUGUCUCUCUCAUUGAAGGGGGAAGCAGCUCAUGGGCAGAGAAGCAGCAAGCAACGAAAGGAGGUGAGGUUGCAGGCAAGCACCCCAGUUAUGACAGGGCUUGUAUUUAUACCAAGUACCCCAAGUGGCCUGGUACCAAAAGAGGCAGAGAUAAUGCAGGCGGGCAUAGGGAUGCUGGCAAAAGCACAGAUAUAACAGGGUGACAUCCUGCAGAAUUUGCUGCGGCUGGGCAUAGUUUGAGAGAGGCAAACUGGGAGGCUGUACACGAGAAGGAGGCACUUGCACAAUGACUUAGUUUUCAGGCUUCAUCUUUCAGUGUGUGCCCUACGGGGUAGGGGGUGGGAGAAUCAGAAGACAAAAAAUGACCAGAUGGCAGGAGGCAAUGAAUGGACCCAUAGCAGCAAGAAAAGGCAGGCACUGGCCAGACGCUCUGUACAGUUGGGCUUCCACUUGUAGUCCAGUUGCAGCACAUGCUCUGGGGUGGGGGCAGCUUAGGAGAGAAAACCCAGGUGGUAGCUGUUGGACACAGAAGCAGUAGAAGGAGAUGAGCAGAGGGCAGUCAGCAUUUGGGCAAGAGUUGGGAGCCAGGGUAUGUAGGCAGAAGCAGCAAUGCUCACCUGGGACAUGGCAGUGCACUACUUGCCCCAAGUCUCAGAACAGCUCAGGGAACUCCAGUAAUGGAAAUGUCACCUUCAGGAACCUCAGCUCCUUCCUCCACCUAGGUGUCACUCGCAUUUAGUGCGGAUUCACAGGGUCUCCCCACUACAGAGAACAGUCUCAGGGCCUUCUGCCUGUGGCUUGAUCUUGUCCUGACCCGAGAAUUGGAGCUGAGGGAAGGAAGACUUGCUGCCUGUAGGACAUCCACUUGAUUCCACUCCCCUUCCAGCAUUUCUGCUCUGAGAUUAUUUUCAAGUGGGACUUUGUGCUGGGGUCUUCUAACAUCAUACCGGGGUGUAGGAAGGCUGAAGUGGGCCCAGAGACAAGAUUUUAAAAUCCCCACCCCCCGCUCACUGAAGCUCAGCUCAUGAAGUAAAGAAAUCUUCAAUGAAGAUGGUAACAAAAAGCAUAGUAAUUUUUUUAAUUCUCUCUCUCUCUCUCUCCCCCCCCCCAUGUGCCACUUUAAAAAAUUAGUUUUGUAAAUUGUGGACGAUGUAAGUCAUUUAAUGGAACUAGAGAAAGACAUGCUGUUCUGGUAGCUCCAGGUCUUAACACUCACAUCAAUUUUGGAGGAUGAAUACAACUGAAGGAAGCCCAGGCGGGUGCGCGGCUGGGGGAUUCAGUCAUGUGACUUGCCUCUGGGGGCCCCCCCAAGGCAGUGGGCCCCCAGACAACUGCCUCCCCUUACCCUAUUAUAGUUACAACCCUGCAUCAUACACAGGAGACCCUCUGCUUCCCAUACCUUCAGACUGGUGGAAGUGAUUUCACAGUACAGAAUUCUGGAGUGCUCCUAUCUUCCUGAGGUACUGUAACUGCCUUAUUCCUCAAGAGGGGUUGAAUACAAAAAAGGGUACCUGCCAUAUUCUUCUCGCUCCCAAGAUGCCUUACCAAACGGAAGUGGGAGCCCAGGCUGUAGUCACUAGGGAAAGCUGACGGAUCAGGGGAGAUGGGAGAUUUUUGGUAUCUAAUAACCUUUCCUCAUAAUGAAUCCCUAUGAGGAUUCAUUACACACCAAAGAGUCUAAACAACUCAAAAAUUCCUAAAAUAUAAACUGAGUAACCAGUGGCUUGUGGGGUGGUUGGAACAUGGGAUGCCACUAAUUCUCCACCCUGACCUGCAAAGCAGUGGGGCCAAAAUGAAUGAAGGUGUGUAAUGAAGAUGCCAAAGAAUCUAAGCACUGCAAUAUUUCUUUAAAGCAAAACAAAACAUGAGUAUCCCACCGCCUUGUGGGGUGUGUGUCUGUAGCUGGCACAUGACAGUUGGCACUGUAAUGACAGUCAAAAUGAACAGAAGAAAUGAAAGUGUGCAAUGAAUCCUCAUAGGGAUUCAUUAUGAGGGAAAGUUAUUAUACACCAAAGAAUCCAAACAUUUGAAAAAUAAUGACCGCACAUUUUGCUCCACAACUCCACUUCUACAAGGGCUAGAGCUUAGCUUUUUUAUUUUUUAAUGAAAGCUGGGGAUCCAUGUUAGGGUUAGGAUAGGGUGACUUUGAAUCCCUGUUAUUUCCUAUGGCGGAAAUAUACAGAAUCAGUAAAAACUAAUGAAAUCCAUUAAAAAUCAACCAAAUGCCCCACCACCUUGAAAUUUGGAUGGUAGGUGGCACCCAUGGGGACCUACCCACCAACCAAAUUUGGUGCUCCUAGGGCCUUGUUAAGUGGUCCAAAUUGAUCCAAAUCUGAAUCAAAUCAAAUACAGAAGGAAUCUGAGGGAUUUGUGCACAUCCCUACUGUUCGUGCUCUCUCUCUCUCUCUCUUUCCCACACCCCCCCCCCCAAAUAAAAAUAAAACUUGCAGUCAAAGCAAAAACCACCUAAGCAAAAUUAAGGUAGAAGGAGUGAAAUGCAGAAACAAAAUGCAAAUUCAAGCACUGGUGUGAGAGAGAAAAAACAAGCCUGGCACUCUGCAGAUUUUAAUGUAAGAACUCAUUUUUAAGCAUCAUUCAUGAAUAUAUUUCUACACAAAGUUUGUAUCUUAGUCUCAAUGUACAUUUCUGCAUUUGUAGUUUUAAAAAGAGAAUAAAAUAACUUCCAUGGGGUGGCCAUUGUAGGCUGCUACAGAACAAAAUACAACAAGAAUCUUGUGCUACUUUAAAGACUAAUCUUACUAUAAAUGUGCUAGUCUUUCAUGUUUGUAUAUACAGAUCUUUAACAUUGUAAUGUGAGUAUAUUGUUGUGAUAUGUUUGAAAUGAUUUUUAUACUUGCUUUGGAUGAAAAAUUGUAUCCUACUCAGAACACACCAGACGUACCAAAUAACCUCAAUACAUAAGUUCCUUA